rnacentral:rRNA from 1 species
UAGGGAAUCUUCCACAAUGGGCGCAAGCCUGAUGGAGCAACGCCGCGUGAGUGAAGAAGGUCUUCGGAUCGUAAAACUCUGUUGUUAGAGAAGAACGUACGAGAGAGUAACUGUUCUUGUAUUGACGGUAUCUAACCAGAAAGCCACGGCUAACUACGUGCCAG